GCGGAUGUGGUGGAAUGGCAGACACGCAGGCUUGAGGGGUCUGUGGUAGCAAUACCGUAUGGGUUCAAGUCCCAUCAUCCGCACCA
rnacentral:tRNA from 1 species